AGUGAACGCUGGCGGUAGGCCUAACACAUGCAAGUCGAACGGCAGCACAGUAAGAGCUUGCUCUUACGGGUGGCGAGUGGCGGACGGGUGAGGAAUACAUCGGAAUCUACUUUUUCGUGGGGGAUAACGUAGGGAAACUUACGCUAAUACCGCAUACGACCUACGGGUGAAAGCAGGGGAUCUUCGGACCUUGCCCGAUUGAAUGAGCCGAUGUCGGAUUAGCUAGUUGGCGGGGUAAAGGCCCACCAAGGCGACGAUCCGUAGCUGGUCUGAGAGGAUGAUCAGCCACACUGGAACUGAGACACGGUCCAGACUCCUACGGGAGGCAACAGUGGGGAAUAUUGGAGAAUGGGCGCAAGCCUGAUCCAGCCAUACCGCGUGGGUGAAGAAGGCCUUCGGGUUGUAAAGCCCUUUUGUUGGGAAAGAAAAGCAGCAGGUUAAUACCCCGCUGUUCUGACGGUACCCAAAGAAUAAGCACCGGCUAACUUCGUG
rnacentral:rRNA from 1 species